CUGUCACUAUUUUAACAUUCUCCAUCAGCUGUGGCCAUGUUGGAUUUCUGGCACCUGAGCAUUCACAUCCAUCUGUUUAUAGGGCAUUAUGCCCACUCAUGAGGUUUAUGCCAGUUUCAAAAAGUCAUGUGUAAACCAAGAUUGGAAAUAUAUAUUCCUUGAGAAAUAGAGACACAGACACACAAGGAAGAAUGCCAUAUGAAAAUGGAGGCAGAAUGGAGUGAUGUAUCUACAAGCCGAGGAACAUCAAAAAUUGCCAGCAACUACUAGAAGCUAGAAGAGGCAAGAAAGGGCUUUCUAGAGCCUUUGGAAAGCAUGAUUCUGCCACAUCUUGAUUUUGGACUUCCAGCCUCCAGAACUGUGAGAGAGUAAGUUUCCAUUGUUUUAAGCCACCCAGUUUGUAUUAAUUUGUUAUAGAAGCCCUGGGAAACAAAUAAACUACUUUAGAUCAGUUAGGAAGGCUUCUCGAACUAUAUGACUUUUAAACAGAGACAUAAAUGAUGAGACUGUCCCAGCCAAGUUAAAAAUAUCACUGGGAAUCAAACUCACUGGUGUUAUUCCAGCUCAGUGGUAAAUGUUCUACUGGUAUUUUAAAUAAUUCUAAAAUAAAGUCAUUGUUUUUCUUUGCACUCCAAAGUCCUUCUUUGCA
rnacentral:lncRNA from 1 species